GACGAACGCUGGCGGCGUGCCUAAUACAUGCAAGUUGAGCGAUGAAGUUUGGUGCUUGCGCCAAUUUGAAGAGCAGCGAACGGGUGAGUAACGCGUGGGGAAUCUGCCUUUGAGCGGGGGACAACAUUUGGAAACGAAUGCUAAUACCGCAUAACAACUUUAAACAUAAGUUUUAAGUUUGAAAGAUGCAAUUGCAUCACUCAAAGAUGAUCCCGCGUUGUAUUAGCUAGUUGGUGAGGUAAAGGCUCACCAAGGCGAUGAUACAUAGCCGACCUGAGAGGGUGAGCGGCCACAUUGGGACGGGGACACGGCCCAAACUCCUACGGGAGGCAGCAGUAGGGAAUCUUCGGCAAAGGACGAAAGUCGGACCGAGCAACGCCGCGUGAGUGAAGAAGGCUUUCGGAUCGUAAAACUCUGUUGGUAGAGAAGAACGUUGGGGAGAGUGGAAAGCUCAUCAAGUGACGGUAACUACCCAGAAAGGGACGGCUAACUACGUG
rnacentral:rRNA from 1 species